rnacentral:rRNA from 1 species
CCUACGGGAGGCAGCAGUAGGGAAUAUUGCUCAAUGGGGGAAACCCUGAAGCAGCAACGCCGCGUGGAGGAUGAAGGUUUUCGGAUUUUAAACUCCUUUUGUUAGAGAAGAUAAUGACGGUAUCUAACGAAUAAGCACCGGCUAACUCCGUGCCAGCAGCCGCGGUAAUACGGAGGGUGCAAGCGUUACUCGGAAUCACUGGGCGUAAAGAGCGCGUAGGCGGGAUAGCAAGUCAGAUGUGAAAUCCUAUGGCUUAACCAUAGAACUGCAUUUGAAACUGUUAUUCUAGAGUAUGGGAGAGGUAGGUGGAAUGCUUGGUGUAGGGGUAAAAUCCGUAGAGAUCAAGAGGAAUACUCAUUGCGAAGGCGACCUGCUAGAACAUAACUGACGCUGAUGCGCGAAAGCGUGGGGAGCAAACAGGAUUAGAUACCCCGGUAGUC